AGUGAACGCUGGCGGUAGGCCUAACACAUGCAAGUCGAACGGCAGCACAGGAGAGCUUGCUCUCUGGGUGGCGAGUGGCGGACGGGUGAGGAAUACAUCGGAAUCUACUUUUUCGUGGGGGAUAACGUAGGGAAACUUACGCUAAUACCGCAUACGACCUACGGGUGAAAGCAGGGGACCUUCGGGCCUUGCGCGAUUGAAUGAUCCGAUGUCGGAUUAGCUAGUUGGCAGGGUAAAGGCCCACCAAGGCGACGAUCCGUAGCUGGUCUGAGAGGAUGAUCAGCCCAACUGGAACUGAGACACGGUCCAGACUCCUACGGGAGGCAGCAGUGGGGAAUAUUGGACAAUGGGCGCAAGCCUGAUCCAGCCAUACCGCGUGGGUGAAGAAGGCCUUCGGGUUGUAAAGCCCUUUUGUUGGGAAAGAAAUCCAGCUGGCUAAUACCCGGUUGGGAUGACGGUACCCAAAGAAUAAGCACCGGCUAACUUCGUGCCAGCCGCCGCCGUAA
rnacentral:rRNA from 1 species